AACGAACGCUGGCGGCAUGCCUAACACAUGCAAGUCGAACGAACCCUUCGGGGUUAGUGGCGCACGGGUGCGUAACGCGUGGGAACCUGCCUUUAGGUUCGGAAUAACAGUUAGAAAUGACUGCUAAUACCGGAUAAUGUCUUCGGACCAAAGAUUUAUUGCCUUUAGAUGGGCCCGCGUUGGAUUAGAUAGUUGGUGGGGUAAUGGCCUACCAAGUCGACGAUCCAUAGCUGGUCUGAGAGGAUGAUCAGCCACACUGGGACUGAGACACGGCCCAGACUCCUACGGGAGGCAGCAGUGGGGAAUAUUGGACAAUGGGCGAAAGCCUGAUCCAGCAAUGCCGCGUGAGUGAUGAAGGCCUUAGGGUUGUAAAGCUCUUUUACCAGGGAUGAUAAUGACAGUACCUGGAGAAUAAGCUCCGGCUAACUCCGUGCCAGCAGCCGCGGUAAUACGGAGGGAGCUAGCGUUGUUCGGAAUUACUGGGCGUAAAGCGCACGUAGGCGGCUUUUCAAGUCAGGGGUGAAAUCCCGGGGCUCAACCCCGGAACUGCCCUUGAAACUGGAUGGCUAGAAUACUGGAGAGGUGAGUGGAAUUCCGAGUGUAGAGG
rnacentral:rRNA from 1 species